rnacentral:piRNA from 1 species
UCCAGCCUGGAUGACGGAGGAAGACCCUGUC